CCCACGAGCUUGGCCGUAGCCUGCUCACACUAGGCGGGAGGGAGGCGGGGCUCCCCAGAGCCCAGCAGAGAAUUUGUGCCAGCAGGUCUCCCAGCUCCCCCCAUCCCCGUGGGGAAGUCGUGACCUCAGGGACGCGCGGCCACAGCACAGUGUUAAGGGCAGCCGGCUGUCGCCUAUAGGGCCUGGGCUCCGUCCUGAGGAGGGGUCCCUCAGGGGUCCCUGGUCCCACAUCAUGACUGCUGCCCCAGUGCACCCAGCCCAGCCCGCCGGUGGAGAACAGGGCAGCGCAGCAAGGGGGCCCAGACGGGGGCUGCUGGGGUGGCAGCCGCCUGGGUGGCCCUUUGGGGAUUUGUGGCUUGAAAUCUGGGCAAGUGGACGCAGUCUGGGUAGAGAAUGGAAGACCCAUCGGUUUCUUGGGGACUAGCCCUAGGUUCCCUGAGGACGGGCCAUAGGGGACACUAUGCCCCCAGGAAGUGACCCAUCUUCUCGGAUGCCCCAAGCUGAGGGACCACCUCUCCUCUCUCGCCGCCUCCAGCCUGGCUGCUUAGGGUGGACCCACUUUCUUUGGGGGCUGAGGGAAUCCCUUGCUGUUUUCCUGGCCUAAAACUCAGACUCUCACGGUUGAGUCUUGUUAAGUUUGUUUCAUAGGAGCAGAGGGGCCUCGUUUCAAAAAGGACACAUCGGGCCAUCGGCCUCAACAUUUGGGCCGGAACAGCGGUGCCGGAAGAGGCCUUCGGAAACGACUGCUUUCCAGGUCUCCGUCAGAGGACACCUUGCUGUCCCUCCCGCCCUUGAUGGUCUGCAGCGAGAGAGUACUCCAAUCAAAGUACAUCCAGGGCUUUGAAAUCCUUAAUUCUCCGCCAACGUGUUCAAGAGCCAGUCCGCGUCCACGGUUUUAUGAACCUUCCAGCUCACUCAUGUCGAACAGAUCAUCAGCAUUUUCUUACAAAACAUCUAUGACUUUUUUGGUGAACUGAACUGAGAUAAUUUUUGAACAUUUAUUUAUAGAGCUAGGAGGAAUCCUGAUAUCCUGACAUGCGAACACCCUGCCUUGGGCAUCUUCUAGAUCUCAUUCAAUCCUCACAACAACAAUCCUCAACAACAAGAUGGAGUCCAUCGUCCUUAUCUUACUUUUAUUUGAAAAUUAGACCGAGAGCGUUUAGCAACCUGGAGUUGCAAGGCCGGCAAGUGGCAGAGCCUGACCUAGAAAGCACGAGGAGCUGGUUCCAAGGCCGAUGUGCUGGCUUCUUUGCUAAGCUGCCUCAGUUUCCACACUUUUAAGAAGGAUGAUAUUGGACUCAUUGGGUUGAUGUGGGGACUAGGUGCAAGCAUUCACCUGCAUGCUUAGCGCAGUAGCCCUUAUCGAAAGUUAUAGUCAUCGGGGCGCCCGGGUGGCUCAGCGGUUGAGAGUCGGCCUUUGGCUCAGGCCGUGACCCCGGGGUCCCGGGAUCGAGUCCCGCGUCGGGCUCCCCGCAGGGAGCCUGCUUCUCCCUUGGCCUGUGUCUCUGCCUCUCUCUGUGUCUGUAAUGAAUAAAUAAAAUCUUUUUUUUAAAAAGUUA